ACUUAGAGUUUGAUCAUGGCUCAGAGCGAACGCUGGCGGCAGGCUUAACACAUGCAAGUCGAGCGGGCGUAGCAAUACGUCAGCGGCAGACGGGAGAGUAACACGUGGGAACGCGCCCUUCGGUUCGGAAUAACUCAGGGAAACUUGAGCUAAUACCGGAUACGCCCUAACGGGGAAAGAUUUAUCGCCGAAGGAACGGCCCGCGUCUGAUUAGCUAGUUGGUGAGGUAAUGGCUCACCAAGGCGACGAUCAGUAGCUGGUCUGAGAGGAUGGCCAGCCUCACUGGGACUGAGACACGGCCCAGACUCCUACGGGAGGCAGCAGUGGGGAAUAUUGGACAAUGGGCGCAAGCCUGAUCCAGCCAUGCCGCGUGGAUGAUGAAGGCCCUAGGGUUGUAAAGUCCUUUUAACGGGGAAGAUAAUGACGGUACCCGUAGAAUAAGCCCCGGCUAACUUCGUGCCAGCAGCCGCGGUACGCC
rnacentral:rRNA from 1 species